rnacentral:rRNA from 1 species
CCUACGGGUGGCAGCAGUGGGGAAUAUUGCACAAUGGGGGAAACCCUGAUGCAGCGACGCCGCGUGAGUGAAGAAGUAUCUCGGUAUGUAAAGCUCUAUCAGCAGGGAAGAAAAUGACGGUACCUGACUAAGAAGCCCCGGCUAACUACGUGCCAGCAGCCGCGGUAAUACGUAGGGGGCAAGCGUUAUCCGGAUUUACUGGGUGUAAAGGGAGCGUAGACGGCAGCACAAGUCUGGAGUGAAAUGCCGGGGCUUAACCCCGGAACUGCUUUGGAAACUGUGCGGCUAGAGUGCAGGAGAGGUAAGCGGAAUUCCUAGUGUAGCGGUGAAAUGCGUAGAUAUUAGGAGGAACACCGGUGGCGAAGGCGGCUUACUGGACUGUAACUGACGUUGAGGCUCGAAAGCGUGGGGAGCAAACAGGAUUAGAUACCCUAGUAGUC